rnacentral:rRNA from 1 species
UACGUAGGGAGCAAGCGUUGUCCGGAUUUACUGGGUGUAAAGGGUGCGUAGGCGGCUUUGCAAGUCAGAAGUGAAAUCCAUGGGCUUAACCCAUGAACUGCUUUUGAAACUGCAGAGCUUGAGUGGAGUAGAGGUAGGCGGAAUUCCCGGUGUAGCGGUGAAAUGCGUAGAGAUCGGGAGGAACACCAGUGGCGAAGGCGGCCUGCUGGGCUCUAACUGACGCUGAGGCACGAAAGCGUGGGUAGCAAAUAGG